GACGAACGCUGGCGGCGUGCCUAAUACAUGCAAGUCGAACGAGAGCAACCGGUGCUUGCACUGGUCAAUCUAGUGGCGAACGGGUGAGUAACACGUGGGUAACCUGCCCAUCAGAGGGGGAUAACAUCCGGAAACGGAUGCUAAAACCGCAUAGGUCUUCGAACCGCAUGGUUUGAAGAGGAAAAGAGGCGCAAGCUUCUGCUGAUGGAUGGACCCGCGGUGCAUUAGCUAGUUGGUGAGGUAACGGCUCACCAAGGCCGUGAUGCAUAGCUGACCUGAGAGGGUGAUCGGCCACAUUGGAACUGAGACACGGCCCAAACUCCUACGGGAGGCAGCAGUAGGGAAUCUUCCGCAAUGGACGCAAGUCUGACGGAGCAACGCCGCGUGAGUGAAGAAGGUGUUCGGAUCGUAAAACUCUGUUGUUAGGGAAGAACAAGUGCUAGAGUAACUGUUAGCGCCUUGACGGUACCUAACCAGAAAGCCACGGCUAACUACGUG
rnacentral:rRNA from 1 species